UUGGAGGGCAGUCUGGUGCGAGCAGCCGCUGGGAUUCCACCUCCAAUAGUCGUAUAUUAAAGUUGUUGCAGUUAAAAAGCCCGUAGUUGAUUUUCGGGGUUCACCCAUUGUUCAGGCUUAAUUGUCUGUACUGGUGAGAUGAGUCUCUACCUUCUGAGGAACUUUCAUGCCAUUUAUUUGUUGUGAUUGGUUAAUCAGGAGGUUACUUUGAAAAAAUUAGGGUGUUUAAAGCUGGCUAACUUUUGAAUACAUUAGCAUGGAAAAAUGAAAUAGGACGGAUUCAUUCUAUUUCGUUGGUUUCUAGGGUCACGGUAAUGAUUAUUAGGGAUAUUUGGGGGCAAUAGUAUUCAUUUGUCAGAGUUGAAAUUCUGGGAUUUAUUAAAGACUAACUACUGCGAAAGCAUUUGCCAGGGAUGUUUUUAUUAAUCAAAAACGAAAGUGAGGGGAUCGGAGACGAUCAAAUACCGUCGGAGUCUUAACAAUAAACUAUGCCGACUAGGGAUCGGACGCGGUUAAUUUUAAAAUGACGUGGUCGGCGCCUAACGGGAAA
rnacentral:rRNA from 1 species